GGUUCAGGUAGCUCAGCUGGUUAGAGCAAAGGACUGAAAAUCCUUGUGUCAGUGGUUCGAAUCCACUUCUAAGCGGGC